CUAACCGAACCAUCAGAAUUCACAUCCGAGCCCUCUAACUUAUAAGUCAACGUCCGGUUGACUUUUCCAACUUAAGCCUUCUUAAAAGAGACUAAGUGUCUCAUUUCUUAUCAAAACCACUCCAACUCAACUCUAUUAAACAAGAUACGUAAAAUGAAGCAUAAAGAAGCUGAAAAUAGGAAAAACAGAGCGAUAACUCAUGAGACGACGGGUCGAGUCGUCACAAGUUGCUACACACUGGUAGGCUAUUUCAGCAAUAUUCAAUUGACGAAUAUAUAAAAAUCGAAACCCAAAGACUGGAUUUUGCUUCGUUCAAUCAAGAUUUAUUUAGAAUGCAUAUAUUGCAAGGACUUCUAGAUAUUUUAAGACUUGGAGAACGAGAUUCUUCUAACAUUGGUAAGCAAAAAUUCCUUUCAGCUUCUUUUAGAGGUGGACCUAGAGAUAUGCGACAAUGAUAUAUGGAUACUAUUGCAUUAGUAUAACGUUUCGGCAAACCAUAUUUGUUUAUAACUAUGACCUGUAAUCCAACUUGGCCGGAAAUAAAAGAACAUUUGUGGACAAUUGAUGAAGCGCAAAAUAGACCUGAUUUAAUUAGUCGAGUAUUCAGAACUAAAGUUGAAGAACUGAAAACAGAUAUAAGCAAGAGAAAUAUCUUUGGAAAAGUUGCUGCUUAUAUGUAUACUGUUGAAUUCCAAAAACGAGAUUUACCACAUGCUCAUUUCCUUAUAAUAUUAGCUAACGAAUAUAAGUUAUUGACAUCGGAGGCUUAUGAUGGAAUUAUUAGUGUUGAAUUACUAGAUGCUAAUUUGGAUAAAAAAAAUUACGUUCGAUUGUUCUCAAACAUAUGAUGCACGGUCCAUGCGGUAAUCUGAAUGCGACAAAUUCAUGUAUGAAAAAAAUGGGCUUUGUAAGUUUAAUUAUCCAAAAAAAUUUGCUAAACAAACAUCAAAAGGAAGUGAUUCUUACCCCGUCUAUAAAAGACGAAACACAGGAGAAGUUGUGAAAGUACGAGAGCAACAUUUAGAUAAUUCUCGGGUUGUUCCAUACAAUCCUUUUUUACUUGGUAAAUUCAACUGUCAUAUGAACGUUGAGGUUUGCUCUGACAUAAAGGUUGUUAAAUAUCCUUACAAAUAUAUUUAUAAAGGACAUGACAAAAUUGCAUUUUACGUACAUGAUAAUGAUACAAACAAAGAAAUAGAUGAAAUAAAGGAGUAUCAAUCUGCUAGAUGGGUAUCACCACCCGAAGCUGCUUGGCGUUUAUUUAGUUUCUCUAUUAGUGAGAUGUAUCCAAGCGUUUAUCAUCUUCAAUUACAUCUUAAAGGGAAACAACUUGUUUCUUUUAAAGGCAAUACAGAUAUUAACUCAAUCAUUAAUAAUCCAAUGAUUAAGAAAACAAUGUUGACAUAAUUUUUUCAGAUGAACAGAACUACCAAAGAUGCCAUAAAACUUAACUUAUUAUAAAAAGAAUUUCCUGAACACUUUGUAUGGUCAACAACAGACAAAACAUGGACACUGCGAUAACAACGUUGCGCCGUUGGUCGUAUCGUAACAUGUCACCCAACUAAAGGAGAACGAUAUUAUCUCAGACUACUGUUGCUAAAUGUGAGAGGACUGAAAUUAUAUGCAGAUCUUCGAACUAUAAAUGGGGAACGUUAUAAUACUUUUAGAGAAUCUGCAGAAAAAAGGGACUGUUACACUGUGAUAACAGUUUAAAUGAUUGCAUGUCAGAGGCAGCAAGUUACCAAAUGCCAUAUAGUUUAAGGCGUUUAUUUGCUACAUUAUUAGUGUAUUGUAAUCCAGCUAAUCCAAAAAAAAUAUGGAAAUAAUUUGAAGAGUCAAAUGUCAGAAGAUUACAAAGUGUUACCUAAUGUUGAAAAAAAAAAUCCAAUAUCAAGUUUUAAAUCAGAUCAAUGAUAUUUUACACUCUAUGGGUCAUAAUAUAAAUGAAUAUGAGCUUAUCCCAGAAACCGUUCAACUAUCUAUACUGGAAAAAGAAGAGAAUGAGGUAUUCAUUGAAAGAACCAUCAGGGUUAGUGAAGAGGAUAUAUUGUUACACAAAAAACUGGACACAAAACAAUUGAAAGCAUACAAUGUGAUUAUUGACCGAGUAUUUUCCAAGAAACCAGGAGCUUUUUUUAUCGAUGGUCCAGGAGGGACUGGAAAAACUUUUUAUAUCGUGCUUUAUUAGCGACUAUACAUAGUAAAGGGUACAUAGCUCUAGCAACUGCUACUUCUGGCGUUGUUGCUUCAAUUCUUCCAGGUGGGCGAACUGCACAUUCACGUUUCAAAAUACCUAUAGACAUUGAUGAAAAUUUCAGCUGUAACAUUAGCAAACAAAGCUCAACUGCAAGUCUGAUUCGUGAUGCAAAAUUAAUUGUAUGGGAUGAAGUAUCUAUGGCUAAAAAAAAGAAUGCUUUAUAUUUUUGACUUGCUCUUAAAAGAUCUUAUGGAUACAAAUAUUCUAUUUGGGGAAAAAGUUGUUGUUUUUGGCGUUGACUUUAGACAAACUCUUUUAGUUGUUCGAAGCGGGAAUAAAGAAGAUUUUAUUAAUGAAAGUUUACUAUAUUCUACCAUUUGGGACGAACUUGAAAAAUUGCAAUUAUUUGAAAAUAUGAGGGCAAAAACAGAUCCUGCUUUUUGUGAUUACUUGAUAAGAAUUGGAAAUGGACAAGAGAGGGUAAACUUUAAUAACAAAAUUGAACUUCCAGAUUCUAUGAUUAUUCCUUUUACAACUAAAGAAGAAUCUCUAAACCAUUUAUUCGCUAUGAUAUUCUCAAAUGUACACACAUCCUCCUCUAUUUUCUUGAAGAUUCUCGCGUUGUUCUAACGACGAAGAAUGAUUUUGUAAAUGAAAUCAACGAUAUUCUUAUAGCAAAAUUUCCAGAAAAAGCUACUACAUUUGUUGGUAUUGACGAAACCGUUGAGCCUAAUGAUCAAAGUCAAUUUGAAAACCUAUUACACACUGUGAAUCCUGCUGGUUUACCUCCUUACAAAUUAACUUUGAAAGAGAACUACCCCAUUAUAUUGCUGCGCAAUUUGAAUCCGUAUGAAGGUUUAUGCAAUGGUACACGGUUAAUACGUUGCGAUGUUAAGACACAUGUUAUCAGUGCUAAGAUCGCGACAGGCGAUUUUAAAAAUAAGCACGUAUUUAUCCCAAGAAUACCAUUAUUAUCUUCACAAGACGAAAGAUUACUAGUUCAAUUUAAAUGAACACAGUUCCUAGUAAGAUUAUGCUAUGCUAUGACUAUAAAUAAGGUGCAAGGUCAGACUCUGGAUUUUGUCGGAAUAUAUUUGCGAGAACCUGUUUUUUCACAUGGUCAACUUUAUGUUGCCUUAUCGAGAGCAAAAAGUUCAAAUUAUGUCAAAGUGCUGAUCCGACCAUCUAUGCUAGCCAACCAUGAUGACCAUUCUACAUAUAAUAUCGUUUAUGACGAAAUCAUCCAAGGAGCGUCCUUUCAAAUAGGCGAUGAGGUUAAGAGUGGACUUCUACUUACCUCGAGCUCCGAAAGAAGGAAAUAUCAGUUAUUUUUUGACAAGGAUAUGAUACUUUGUUCAGUGAUUAUGGAUUCAACCUACUUUGAUUCUAAUAUUUUCUAUUUCUUCAAGUUGAUCUUGGCUCUGCAAUUAAGGUAGUAGCAGAUAUUACUAUUGAUGCCUAUGUCACAGAGAACAAUAUAAGCCAUCCAUCUCUUGCCAGUGACAUGCAAAGCUUGUGUGGAGUGAGUUCUUCAAUCGGGCAACUAAUUGGGUACACUAUCAGUGGAUUUUUAGUUCAUCUAAUUGCAUCUAAGGUUUGGUAUCGCUGGCUUAAUUCGAUCAUUAUCGAUGGAAUAUUGAGCUAGAGUUUCGACGUGUCGGCUUAGUGUCAUUAAAUUUAUAGUUGAGGAUAUUGUUGACUUUAUACUUAUAUGUGUCUUCCAGUGGCAAUAGAACAGCCACGUCUAUUUGGUUUUUAUCUGGUUCUAGGAUUAUUCUUCAUUUUCCUUUCUCUUUAGCUUCUUCAUCUCUCUUUCACCGUCUGGGAAGACACUUCAACAAUUGGGAUUUAGAUCAGAUCUUCUUCUAUUUGAUUCGUGAUUAUUUUUCUAUUUUUAAUGUAACCAAAUUUCUCAUCAUGUUCUCCAAUCCGUAUAGGAUUUUCACUGCUAAAAAUUCGUUGAGAAUUAUUUAAAAUUUUUGAUUUAUUCUGUUUACCUAUGUCUAGGGAGUACCAUAUGGAAAGAGGUUAAGAGAUGCACGAGAAGAUUCUAGGUGGUAUCUGCUUAUGCCUUUUAUAUUACUAGAAGCUCCAUUGUCAGGAUUUGAAUGUGAACAUGGAGUUUGUGGAGGGUUCUGAAAGGAGAGUAAUACUGAUGAUAAGGGGAGGGGAUGUUGUUAUCAGUAUGCUGUUAGGAUUUGAUGCAGGAAGAGUGUGCCUACACCAUUUAAAGUUCUAAGUGGCAGUUUUCCCCACUUAAUUGAAAUGAUCUAUAGGGACAAUAGCUCCCCUGAUGAGAUUUACAGCUAAAUCUGCAGUCAAGAGUUUCCGCGAUGCGAAUAGUGUCAAAUGAUAGUUUGGUAAUGGACAAUUCAGCACUAGAGCCAUCUCAUCUCAUAUUGCCAUUGUCGAGGAAUUUGAGGACACUUAACCUUCAACUGAAAUUACAGCGAGCGAGGAUUGUUUGGAGAAUGCUGGUCACCUUCUAACUGUUGAAGUUGACAAAAUUCAAUCUUUGUCACAUGCAGAACUAUCACAAGGUUGCAUAUGCCUAAACAAUGAAGUGUUAAUUAUGCGCUCAGUUAUAUGUAGACCCAUUCAGGAAGAUAUAUUUGUCAAUGAUAAAAAGUUUUUUUCCGGCUACGUGAUUGUAAUUACAUAUAUAUUAAGAACUGUUAUUUUUUACUAUACUUACAACUGCAAGUUUGUUGACUGAUC